AAAACCACCUCUUCUUUGAACAGUAAAGAGAGAAACAAAUAAAAAAAGGGUUCGACCCUCCUCAGUAUCACCUGGUAAGAGGCCGUUGAUUGGAAUAGAAAAUUUCGGAAGAAUUAGGUUCGAAUAAAUUUCCUGGGAUCCUCUUCCUUUCGGAAUCCCAGAAUGGAAUCAUUGCAGAAGAAAGGUAUAACGCUUGGGAACCGGAACAGGAUUA
rnacentral:lncRNA from 1 species